UAGUGUUGGGGGCGUGUUGGGGCGCGGGUGUAUUCGCCUUUUACACUCUAACCCUUCAUCCCUAUUUUCGGCGCUCUCACACUUCGCAAUCCCCGACCUCAUCCGCCCACAAGCAUCUCGUCGUGACCACUUCUGCCGCCAACCCCGCCAAGCCUCAUCGCAUCUUAGUCCCCAUUCGGCCCUUCGCCGUUGCGCGAUCUCCCGUCUCUCUACCACUUGAAUCUUGUCGUCGUCGUCGAGUUUACCGCCGAUUCUAUGCGUAUAGAGAAAUGUUUGAUUUUUAAGGACCUCCUGAAGCCCUAUGCAUACAGAGAAAGGUAAAUUGGUAACUUGCUUUGGCAUAAAGGAUCUUGGGUUGUUUCCAAGUUGAGUUGUACUAUACUUAUUUGGUUAUACUAUUCAUGUUAUAUGGGUUGAAGGGAUGGCUCCUGUUUUUUCUUGAUCUGCAUGGCAAUGUGUGUGGCACCUCAUAUAGGGGAAUCCAAUUGUGGGGGUUCAUAUCCUUUCAUAUUCAGCUGAUGUAAUAGACGUGUAUUGUCCACAAGGUCCUGAUAAUGUACCUAGGCAAGGAACUGUUCUUUGCCAUACCAUUUCUGAUGCAGAAGGGAAAUUUGUCUUCAAAUCUUUACCUUGUGGUUCCUCUUGGUGCAAUCCCAAAAUCGAAGAAGUGCACUAUUCAUAUAUUCAUAGGACAGAAUAUCAAAAGCUAUCGGGAUAAAGAACGACAUUGCAGACUUUCCUCGGCAUAUAAUAAAUCUAAGAAGAGAGAGGGUAGAAAAUCAUGUGCACCAGCAAAUCUUUUUAGUUAAUUGCGAGAGUAGAUUCUUUUUCAGUUAUUUCUAAUAUUAUAUUAGCUUUGAAAGUAAAAGAUGUAUCAUUGGUGUUUUAUUUAUAAAAUUGACUCAAAUGUUGAUUAGAUGAAUAAAAAUUAUGUAUUCACAUUU